GGGAGAGGCAGCUGCAGCUCCACAAGCUAUAUUGGGCCACUGGUGGUCACAGCUACUGAGGAAAACUCUCUGCAAGGGCUCAGGAUGAAUUCUGGUAAACAUUGUCAAAUACAUCUUAUGGCCAAUAACUCUGAAGUUUCAAUGUGCUGCCAAGUCACCAAGAUUUCUGAGGAAAUUCAUCUAAGAAGACAUCAGGCUCCUUUGGGAAUCCACUGAUGACUGUGGGGUGUCUUGAAGGAGCAUUUUGAGAUAUUCUGCAAUUACCUUAACUCCCAUGGAGGUCUCAUGCACCAGAAAUGGUCUGGGCCUAGAGAAGAUGCUCUGUGGUGGGCUGGGGGCUGUUGGGUGUCAGCCUGGAGCUCGGCUUGGCCAGCCGCCCACCCCUGUGGGUGUGACCCUCACCAGGGACCUCGACCCUAAGCCCUAUCUAGUGUCACCCUUCCUGUACUUGGGCCCCACAGCCAACGGAGACCCCUGUAGGGCUUGUGGGGUUCAACAGCCCUGAUGUAACUGCACAGUGAUGCAAUGUCCCAUUUCCCUGCCACUGGAGUCCAGUAGACCUGGGAGAAGGAAAUCGAUUCCCUGCCUUCCGCAUUCAGAAUUCAAAAAUAAAAUAAAAUAAAUGGUGGGG